ACGGAAGGCAGCAGUGAGGAAUAUUGGUCAAUGGGCGAGAGCCUGAACCAGCCAUGUCGCGUGCAGGAAUACGGCCCUAUGGGUUUUAAACUGCUUUUGCCUGGGGAUAAAGUGGCGGACUUGUCCGUUAUUGCAGGUACCAGGCGAAUAAGGAUCGGCUAACUCCGUGCCAGCAGCCGCGGUAAUACGGAGGAUCCGAGCGUUAUCCGGAUUUAUUGGGUUUAAAGGGAGCGUAGGCGGGAAGUCAAGUCAGCUGUGAAAUGUAGACGCUCAACGUCUGCACUGCAGUUGAAACUGGUUUUCUUGAGUGCGUAAGAGGCAGGCGGAAUUCGUCGUGUAGCGGUGAAAUGCUUAGAUAUGACGAAGAACUCCUAUUGCGAAGGCAGCUUGCUGGGCCGCAACUGACGCUGAAGCUCGAAGGUGCGGGUAUCGAACAGGAUUAGAUACCCUGGUA
rnacentral:rRNA from 1 species